rnacentral:rRNA from 1 species
AACGAACGCUGGCGGCAUGCCUAACACAUGCAAGUCGAACUAGACCUUCGGGUCUAGUGGCGCACGGGUGCGUAACGCGUGGGAACCUGCCCUUAGGUUCGGAAUAACUCCCCGAAAGGGGUGCUAAUACCGGAUAAUGUCUUCGGACCAAAGAUUUAUCGCCUUUGGAUGGGCCCGCGUUGGAUUAGCUAGUUGGUAGGGUAAAAGCCUACCAAGGCGACGAUCGAUAGCUGGUCUGAGAGGAUGAUCAGCCACACUGGGACUGAGACACGGCCCAGACUCCUACGGGAGGCAGCAGUGGGGAAUAUUGGACAAUGGGGGAAGGCCUGAUCCAGCAAGGCCGCGUGAGUGAUGAAGGCCUUAGGGUUGUAAAGCUCGUUUACCCGGGAUGAUAAUGACAGUACCGGGAGAAUAAGCUCCGGCUAACUCCGUG